rnacentral:sRNA from 1 species
CUGCCAAGUGCCAUCCUACCUACCUGCCUCUCUGCCUCUCUGCCUGCUCAAUAUUCAAUCAAUUGCUGCUGGAAUAGAGAAUGCUAGCUAUCUGUCUGCCUACUGACCUCUGUCGGAAAUAAUAUCUCACAUAUCAAGGGUCUUGUAACAUCUCGCUAUGUGAAAACUGAGCACUGCCCCUCUCAUAUAUUCAAGCAUUCUUCUUCCUUAUAAACACUGCCUAGUUAUCAUGUAAUUGUCGGAGCCAGAAUAGUCAAUUCAAUUAUCUAUCGAUAUUCAGACAACCAAUUGAUUACUAAUAGAAUAGAGAAUGCUAUCUGUCUACCUGCCUGCCUACCU